rnacentral:rRNA from 1 species
GACAGAGGGUGCAAACGUUGUUCGGAAUUACUGGGCGUAAAGCGCGUGUAGGCAGCUCGGCAAGUCGGGUGUGAAAGCCCUGGGCUUAACCUAGGAAGUGCACUCGAAACUUCCGAGCUUGAGUUCUGGAGAGGAAGGCGGAAUUCUCGGUGUAGAGGUGAAAUUCGUAGAUAUCGAGAGGAACACCGGUGGCGAAGGCGGCCUUCUGGACAGUGACUGACGCUGAGACGCGAAAGCGUGGGGAGCAAACAGG